UUAUGCAUUACUUGGGGAUCUCAUUAAAAUGCAGAUUCUGAUAUAGAUGGUCGUGGUGGGCCUGAGUUUCUGCAUUUCUAAUCUGCUCCCAGGUGAUACCAAA
rnacentral:pre_miRNA from 1 species